GACGAACGCUGGCGGCGUGCUUAACACAUGCAAGUCGAACGGAAAGGCCCUGCUUUUGUGGGGUGCUCGAGUGGCGAACGGGUGAGUAACACGUGAGUAACCUGCCCUUGGCUUGGGGAUAACUUCAGGAAACUGGGGCUAAUACCGGAUAGGAGCUCCUGCUGCAUGGUGGGGGUGGGAAAGUUUCGGCGGUUGGGGAUGGACGCGCGGCUUAUCUGCUUGUGGGUGGGGUAGUGGCUUUCCAAGGCUUGGACGGAUCUCCGGCCUGAGAGGGGGACCAGCCACAUUGGGACUGCGAUACGGCCCAGACUCCUACGGGGGGCAGCAGUGGGGAAUAUUGCACAAUGGGCGGAAGCCUGAUGCAGCAACGCCGCGUGCGGGAUGACGGCCUUCGGGUUGUAAACCGCUUUCGCCUGUGACGAAGCGUGAGUGACGGUAAUGGGUAAAGAAGCACCGGCUAACUACGUG
rnacentral:rRNA from 1 species